rnacentral:rRNA from 1 species
CCUACGGGCGGCAGCAGUCGAGAAUCAUUCACAAUGGGGGAAACCCUGAUGGUGCGACGCCGCGUGGGGGAAUGAAGGUCUUCGGAUUGUAAACCCCUGUCAUGUGGGAGCAAAUUAAAAAGAUAGUACCACAAGAGGAAGAGACGGCUAACUCUGUGCCAGCAGCCGCGGUAAUACAGAGGUCUCAAGCGUUGUUCGGAAUCACUGGGCGUAAAGCGUGCGUAGGCUGUUUCGUAAGUCGUGUGUGAAAGGCGCGGGCUCAACCCGCGGACGGCACAUGAUACUGCGAGACUAGAGUAAGGGAGGGGGAACCGGAAUGCUCGGUGUAGCAGUGAAAUGCGUAGAUAUCGAGAGGAACACUCGUGGCGAAGGCGGGUUCCUGGACAUUAACUGACGCUGAGGCACGAAGGCCAGGGGAGCGAAAGGGAUUAGAUACCCUAGUAGUC